GUUGUAACACCAGUUCCCAUACGAUCACCGAAGUUAAGCAACGUCGAGCCCGGUCAGUAUCUAGAUGAGUGACCAGGUG